rnacentral:rRNA from 1 species
UACGAAGGGUGCAAGCGUUACUCGGAAUUACUGGGCGUAAAGCGUGCGUAGGUGGUUCGUUAAGUCUGAUGUGAAAGCCCUGGGCUCAACCUGGGAACUGCAUUGGAUACUGGCGAUCUGGAGUGCGGUAGAGGGUGGCGGAAUUCCCGGUGUAGCAGUGAAAUGCGUAGAGAUCCGGAGGAACACCAAAGGCGAAGGCAGUGUCCUGGGGAGUACCUGACGCUCAGGUGCGAAAGCCAGGGGAGCGAACGGG